rnacentral:rRNA from 1 species
AGUGAACGCUGGCGGUAGGCCUAACACAUGCCAGUCGAACGGCAGCACAGUAAGAGCUUGCUCUUACGGGUGGCGAGUGGCGGACGGGUGAGGAAUACAUCGGAAUCUACUUUUUCGUGGGGGAUAACGUAGGGAAACUUACGCUAAUACCGCAUACGACCUACGGGUGAAAGCAGGGGAUCUUCGGACCUUGCGCGAUUGAAUGAGCCGAUGUCGGAUUAGCUAGUUGGCGGGGUAAAGGCCCACCAAGGCGACGAUCCGUAGCUGGUCUGAGAGGAUGAUCAGCCACACUGGAACUGAGACACGGUCCAGACUCCUACGGGAGGCAGCAGUGGGGAAUAUUGACAAUGGGCGCAAGCCUGAUCCAGCCACACCGCGUGGGUGAAGAAGGCCUUCGGGUUGUAAAGCCCUUUUGUUGGGAAAGAAAAGCAGCAGGUUAAUACCCCGCUGUUCUGACGGUACCCAAAGAAUAAGCACCGGCUAACUUCGUG